GAAUAUUGGACAAUGGGGGAAACCCUGAUCCAGCCAUGCCGCGUGUGUGAAGAAGGCCCUAGGGUUGUAAAGCACUUUAAUUAGGGAGGAAGGCUGUUUGGUUAAUACCCAAGCAGAUUGACGUUACCUAAAGAAUAAGCACCGGCUAACUCCGUGCCAGCAGCCGCGGUAAUACGGAGGGUGCAAGCGUUAAUCGGAAUUACUGGGCGUAAAGCGCACGUAGGCGGCUUAUUAAGUCGGUUGUGAAAGCCCCGGGCUUAACCUGGGAAUUGCUUCCGAUACUGGUAAGCUAGAGUACAAGAGAGGGUGGUGGAAUUUCUAGUGUAGCGGUGAAAUGCGUAGAUAUUAGAAGGAACAUCAGUGGCGAAGGCGACCGCCUGGCUUGAUACUGACGCUGAGGUGCGAAAGCGUGGGGAGCAAACAG
rnacentral:rRNA from 1 species